AGAAAAAAAGAGUAAACUUGGAGCCGAAGCUGUGCCACCAAAACCCUCACUUGUUCUUUCGUUGCUUUAGAUCCUAAAUCUCCAAAGAAAACCCUAAUCCUUUUCCAUGUAAUCAAACCCCUGCUUUCCUGAUUUCUCUAAAGCGGUCCUCUUCCACCGGAUUUCAAGGAACUAAUAAUGGGGAAAAGAGUUAAAAAGAAUCGUCGAGUACCUCCGAAGGAGAAAAAGGUUGUGGCAGCUCAAUCUCCAAAAGCUAUACCUCAGGAGAAAACUGCCGGUAUUGAUGAUGUUGACGAUGAAGUUAAAGCCGUAAAAGAGAGGAAAAAGUGCCUGCAUUUUGAUAAAGGCAUCAACAUAGAUAAAUUGUUGACUAAACUUAGGUCAUCAGACCCCAUAAGGUGUGAAGAUUGUAGGGAAGGCAGAAAUGAUAGGAGAGGAGGUAAGGGAAAGAGUAAACAUGGGAAGAAGAAGGGAAGUGCUUCGGUUGAGUCGAAAUCUGAAUCGAAAGCCAUUUGGGUUUGUUUGGAGUGUGGACAUUAUGUAUGCGCUGGAGUUGGUUUGCCAACAGCUUCUACCUCACAUGCUGUUCGACAUCUUAGACAAACCCGUCACCACUUGGUGGUUCAAUGGGAUAAUCCUCAAUUGAGGUGGUGCUUCUCUUGCAACAUAUUCAUUCCAGUUGAGAAAAUGGAAGAGAACAGUGAAAGCAAAGAUGUUUUAUAUGAGGUUGUAAAAUUGAUUAAGGAACGAUCAUCUGAAUCAUCCACAAAUGAUGUUGAGGAUGUUUUGUCAGGAAGCGGCAGUGUUAUUUGUGAUAUCAAAUCAGAAGGAACUAUAUCGAAUUUUUUGGAUGGAAAAAAUGGUUAUGUGGUUCGAGGUUUGGUUAAUCUCGGUAAUACGUGCUUCUUUAAUUCAGUAAUGCAGAAUCUUCUGGCUCUGAAUAGGCUAAGGGACUACUUCUCGAAUCUGGAUGUGUCCAUGGGGCAGUUAACAAUUUCUAUGAAAAAGCUUUUUGCUGAAAUAAGACCUGAGAUGGGCUUGAAAAAUGCUAUCAAUCCAAAGCCAUUUUUUGCAUCCCUUUGUUCUAAGGCUCCCCAGUUUAGAGGCUAUCAGCAACACGACAGUCAUGAAUUGCUUCGCUGCUUACUUGAUGGGCUUUAUACAGAGGAGUUGGCUCUAAAAAAACACAUUAAUGCUUCUAAAAGUGAUGCAGUUACGGCAAGUCAGGAUCUUACUUUUGUGGAUGCUGUAUUUGGGGGUCAAAUUUCGAGUACUCUCUGUUGUGAGGAGUGUGGGCACUCGUCAACAGUGUAUGAACCAUUUCUAGAUCUCUCACUUUCAGUGCCAACUAAGAAAACCCCUUCUAAAAAGGCUCAACCAGUCUCUCGAGCAAAGAAAACAAAGCUGCCACCGAAAAAAGUUGGCAGGAAUAGAGGAAAAGUUAACAAAGAUGUAGAUCAGGCGCCAGCUAAAGUUGUUACGGCUCCUGUACCUAACAGUGAAUCUUCAGGCCCAGGGCAUAUAGCUGUGCCCCAAAUGGAACCCAAGGUGGCAUCUUCUGGUGAUUCUUCACUCUCACAUGCUGCUGGCCCAAGCACCAAGGCAGAUGAAAGCAGUUCUGCUUCAAGGAAUCUCUUUGAUGUUGUGGAGUCUCAGAAAGAACAAGUUGUGGAGAGUACAGUGAAGGAAAAUUCAGCUGGGACAGAUGAUUUUGCUUGGUUGGAUUACCUCACAACAGAGAAUACACUCCCGGAAAAUGAUACUGGUGCAGAUGAUUUUUCUUGGAUGGAUUACCUGCAACAGGAAAUAGUAGCUGAUGAGAGUGACUUGAUUUCUCAAAAUAACAAUACUUCCCUUCAAGAUUCCGAGGAAAAGGAACUAGUUCCAAAUGAAGCUUUAGCAGAAAGUUGUGAGGUUUCCGUACUCGAGGGGGAAACCAAUAAAAAAACUGAAGAUUCUUCCGGGAACCUUCAAGAAGAGGAUCUUCCAUUGCUGGUUCAAGAUUCUGUGGUUCUUUUGCUUCCAUAUAAAGAAGAUAUUCCAGGUACUUUGAGUGUGAGAGAAAAUGAGGCCUCUUCAUCAAAUGCGGGUCUUGGACAAGAGGAAGUGGAGUUUGAUGGCUUUGGUGACAUGUUUAAUGAGCCUGAAAUUGCUGAAGGGCCCAUCAUUGGACCAUCUUUGGCAAAUGAAGUUGCUGAAACUGGUUUUAUGGCUGGGAGUAUUAGUGAUUCUGAUCCUGAUGAGGUUGAUGACAGUAAUUCUCCAGUAUCCGUGGAAAGUUGUUUGUCUCACUUCAUAAAGCCGGAGCUUCUUUCGGAUGAUAAUGCUUGGAAUUGUGAGAAUUGUGCGAAAAUUUUGCGACAUCAGAAGUUGAAAGCAAAGAAGAAGCAGACUAAAAUGGGAAAGGAUUUACUCAAUGGAAGUGAGACCCGAAGUUUAGAUAUGGAACACCAAUGCCCUAAUGGAGUUAGAACCAUUAGUAAUGGCGAUAUCAGUAGUUCCGGUGAUAGCUCGGUUUUUCAUAACAAGAAUCAAAAUGGUGUAAAAGUUGAAAAUGGUCAAACAAGUGAGCUAGAUUCUGUUGAAUUAGAAGAUGCAAGUCCGUUGAAAUCAAAUUCUUCAGUUUCCUCUAAAUGUUAUGCUCAAGAAAAAUGUGGGGGUACCCGAACUAUUGAUUCUUGCAAUGUUGAAAAUCAUAGUGGUAAUGAGACCUUUCGUCAGAGUAAUUCACAUAUGACUGAAAACUGUCAAUCAGGCGUAAGUGAUGAUGAAGAGUUAGACUCCGAAAAUUUGAAGGUUAAGAGAAAUGCUACAAAGAGGGUCCUCAUAAACAAGGCACCGCCUGUUCUGACUAUUCAUUUGAAGAGGUUUUGUCAAGAUGCUCGUGGUCGCUUGAGUAAAUUGAAUGGUCAUGUCAAUUUCAGAGAGACAAUUGAUCUUAGACCAUAUCUGGAUCCCAGGUGUGAAGAUGCAGAUAAUUGCAAUUACAGUCUGGUGGGGGUUGUGGAGCAUUCGGGAACAAUGAGAGGUGGUCACUACAUUGCAUAUGUGAGAGGAGGUGAGAAAAGGAAAGGGACGACCGGUAUCGACCAUGUUGGAUCUCAAUGGUAUUAUGUGAGUGAUCAACAUGUUCGCCAAGCAUCAAUCGAAGAAGUUCUUCGCUGCGAGGCAUACAUUUUAUUCUAUGAAAAAGUUUGAGAGAUGGAUUUCGUUCUGAUACAUGUUCUGAUUCUUAGUGACAGCUGGGGGGGUGGGAGGGUUAAAGUCCGCACGGCACCCUGGUGAACGGAGACAGAAAAUACAUUAAAGAAAGAGGAGAUCCUUGCAUUCGAAAAUCAUGCAACCAAUUUUGGACCGAUCUUCCUCCAUUGAGCGGAUUGCAAAUGGAACUUCUUGAGCAUUAGUAUUGAUCAUCUCUUCGCUUUCAAAGUUUUGGAUCGCCCACCUUCCACAACUCAUGGUGAAUAGAAAUGCAUGAUGAAGCAAGGGCCCUCGCAGAAGCACCCUCAUUGUUUCAAACAAUCAUUCUUGUUCCCCAUUUUUUCUCCCUUUCAAAUAGUGUUGCAUCAAUCCAAAAGCACCAUCCUCCUCCCACAGGUGAGUUAUAGUCAUGAUCUCGUCCGCAGCUAUUUGCGCCACCAUACAGGGAGCUAACAGCUUGUGCAUCCUGCUACUCCCUUGAAUGCCUUAUGGUAAAGUUUAUGAUGAUUGAACCAUGUACAUCAGAAUUUUCCAGACUAUCUUGUUCCUCGCCCAUCAACAAAACAUACUAAAAUCCUUCAAGAUAGCUCUAGGAUGAUGUUCAGCAAGGACCUUGAAGCAUUCAACAAGAGAUACGUUAAGACUAUUGAUAUUCAUUCCAACAGUCCAUUGACAUGUUUUAGGACAAGAAAUUAACACAUGAUUAAUGUCUUCAUCGGUUCUACAA